UUAGAGUUUGAUCCUGGCUCAGAUUGAACGCUGGCGGCAGGCCUAACACAUGCAAGUCGAGCGGUUGAGGUAGCUUGCUACCGAUGCAGCGGCGAACGGGUGAGUAAUACAUGGGAAUCUGCCUGGUAGUGGGGGACAACGUUUCGAAAGGAACGCUAAUACCGCAUACGCCCUACGGGGGAAAGGGGGGGAUCGCAAGACCUCCCGCUAUCAGAUGAGCCCAUGUCAGAUUAGCUUGUUGGUGAGGUAAAGGCUCACCAAGGCGACGAUCUGUAACUGGUCUGAGAGGAUGAUCAGUCACACUGGAACUGAGACACGGUCCAGACUCCUACGGGAGGCAGCAGUGGGGAAUAUUGGACAAUGGGCGCAAGCCUGAUCCAGCCAUGCCGCGUGUGUGAAGAAGGCCUUAGGGUUGUAAAGCACUUUCAGUGGGGAGAAAGGUGAUUCACCUAAUACGUGAGUUAAUUGAUGUUACCCACAGAAGAAGCACCGGCUAACUCCGUGCCAGCAGCCGCGGUAAUACGGAGGGUGCAAGCGUUAAUCGGAAUUACUGGGCGUAAAGCGUACGUAGGUGGUUUGUUAAGCCAGCUGUGAAAUCCCCGGGCUCAACCUGGGCACUGCAGUUGGAACUGGCAAGCUAGAGUAGGGU
rnacentral:rRNA from 1 species